GAAACCUGUAUCUAGAGUAUAAUAAAUUCAGAAGGACUACCCCCUUCAUCUUUAGCACUUGGUACAUCCCAGCCUCUCCUCUCCCUCCCAUUCUCCUUCCUCCUUCUUCCAGUGUCCUCCAUCUCUCCGCUAUCCCCCAUUUUCCUGUAUUAAGGACACUGUGUCUUUCAGAGACUAUUGUGAUUUCCCCUCCAGGUGAUAUCCUUGCCGUCAGUAUUGGACAGACUGUUGGAGAGCAAAGCAGCACAGAGCUGACCUUACAGAAAGACUGGUGACCAACUACUACUGACCAGACCACACCUCAGUUUCUAAGUCCAUGGAAGCCAAAGCUAAGUCUGGGACUCCAGCACCCAAGGCAUCCAAACCAGAGAAGAAAGAACCAGCAGCCCCUCGCAAGACCGACCCUGCAUCUGCCGCACCUGAGCCUGAGCUUCUUCCUCCUCAGGAUGGAGCAGCAGACGCUGAUGCUGCAGCAGCAGGUGGUGGGACUGCAGCCUCUGGCACAGACUCCCUGGAACACUUGAAACCCUUUCUCAUUGGUGGUGCCAUUAUUGCAGCAGGAGCCAUCUUGCUGGGAGCAUUGCUACUGGCAAGAAGAAAUUAGAGGUCCUGCGGAUUGGUUCAAGAACUACCAUGGUGCAGAAGGGGAGAGGGUAGCCACUGUGCAAAUAAGGUUUCAUUUGGCUUUUAUAGGUUUGCUUUCCACCAUUUAAACAAAUUAAAUUGCUGAUCAAGGCUGUAUAUGAGCACAUUUACCCAAAGCAUAUGCAUGUUGCUGCAAAACGGCUUCAUAAUUAUAAUCAACUCCUUGGAAAAUAUGUACUAUAUCAAGUUCAAAAACCAAAACUCUCAUAUGCUCAUAUGCCUAUGCAUAUAGCUUAUGCAACAAUUUUAUCUUGGUUAAUUCUGUUCGUACAAAUAUUGACAUAGUCUUUCAAUAUUUGACACAUUCCUGCACAAUAAAUAUGCUUGGUUCACUUUGCUAAAAGAUAUUGUAUUCAAAAUGUUGAAAUGUUUGGACAUGGCCUGACUAUCAGACUUGGUUUGUUUAACUUUUUCAGAGGAGAAAUUACAGAUUUGACAGUUAAAUAUGGAUUCUUAUAAAUUGCACCUAUUUUAUCCAACUGAAAAUCAUGAUCACGUUUUUACUAGUAGACCAAAAAGUUGUGCUCUUACAUAUCCCCAAAACAAAAAAUGGUCCAGUUUAUUUUUUAAAUUUGACAUUAUAAGAGAGACGCUCGAGAGAUGAUAAUCAUGCAGUGGUGUGAGGAGCUGUUGGAAAGAUAACAUGUAUAUUGUGCUGCUAAGAAUACCUGUGUGGUUUUGUCUUACUGUAGAAUAAGAGCAUUUUUCAUUCCUAUAUAAUCAAAUCAAUAACCUUUCAUGUCUUACACCAUACACAGCAGUCAUGCUGUUUUUUCUGUUUGCUCCUUGGCCCUAGCAGCCAUUUGUGUUAAUGUACUGUAUCAGGUUUAUGACCUGCUGCCAAAACACUGGAGCUGUUUGUGUUUUCAAUGAGCUUACUGAGCUUCCUCCAUCUCUACUACAGUAACAGUCAAGUGUAGAAGAAAUACUUAUGUAUAGUUUUCUCAAAUGAAAAAAAAAAAAGUCAUACAGCCUCCAUUAUUUGGCUGCAUAGCCUCACCUGUACAGCUACACAUAAUAUUGACCACUAACAGGUACAUUUUAUGAAGAUGUUCCUGUUGUAUAAGUAGAUAGCAAAGACAACUCUCACUCCAUUCAAUAGGACUUUUGUUGAGAUUUUAUUUACAAAAAUACAUAUUUUAUGAACAUUCUUCAUUCACCAGUGAACACCCUAAAUACAUCCCAACGUUGUCACUAUAGAGAGAAUCUUAUAUAAACUUCACCUUAUAUUGUACUAUACAGUGUACCAAAAAAAGAAAAAAACCCGACUUUCAUAAAUUCAACAGCGUAUAAAUGCAAUAAUUCACAUAGGAAGCAUCAUUUAGCACCUGUGCUGUAGCAAGUUAAAUUUUUAGAAAUUAUGAUAAUACUGUUGGUAUUUAUUACAAUGUCAAAGAUCGUAGUGUUUCUGGUUAUAAUGAAAACAGCAGCAAUGUUGUUGUUCAUGAUGGCUGUGAUGAUGAUGGUUGUGAUAUAUUUUUGAUAUAUAUAAACAUUUUCCUUAUGCACACUCCCUAACACUCAAAAUGUUAACGACAGGCUGUAAUGUAAUAUUUAUUAAAGGCAGUGAACCAUGCAGACUAAGUGAGUAUCUCUUUGAUUCAAACAUGUUUGUUAUGUCGUGUUCAAAUAACAUAAUUAAUUAAGGUCACAAGGAUAAGAAUGUACUGUGAAUAUACUUUACCAUGUGUGACAUACAUUUGCUUUUGAUUAGUUUGUUACAGUUGCUUCCAUUGUUUGGUCUUUGACAUGUUAAUCCACAUAGCCCAUACAUGGUCAAAAUGUUCUUUUAUUUUCUAAAUGCACCCCUACAUAAUGCCAAACAUGAUGGUAAAUUAUUUAAGUUAGGAAUUUGUAAAUAUGCAAAGGCAUAUUAAAAUAUCACAUUAUUAUGUUAUUGUAUUUAUUUAAUAUUCUAUUAAUUUACACUAUGGUGGCUGAGUAUUCUCUAAAAAAAUAAAACCCUAAAACAAAUACAAAAUAAAAAAACGAGUUGUUAAAAGAAAAAAAAGGGAGAGGCACCAAGAUGGAAAUAAGAUAAAGAAUGUUAUUCUGGUCAAAAUAUAUUGUCCCAUUACUAAAUUUCAACCAAAAACUGUGACGAAAGAAUUUUUCCUACAAUUAUGUACUUAUUAUGUAAAUAGUUUCAUGUAAAUAACAUUAGGAAGAAGAGAAAACAGUUCUGUUUUUGUUUGAGGGGUACUGAUUUUGAAGAGCCGCGAUUUCCAUUCCUUGACGGAUGUGACGUUAAUUUUCUGCAGGCGGAUCCAUGUCGGCGGAAGUUAGCGCAAGACAACGGAAGUUGACAGUUGCAAAAGAAUUCUAGACGACACGCUGUCGUUAGUCGCUGUUAUAAUUUACUAGAAAAGACAUACUGGUGCAGGUGUUCAACAAUGAUCAUCCCUGUCCGGUGCUUCACAUGCGGCAAGAUUGUGGGCAAUAAGUGGGAAGCAUACCUGGGUCUACUCCAAGCUGAGUAUACUGAAGGUGAUGCUCUAGACGCCCUGGGCCUGAAGAGAUACUGCUGUCGGAGAAUGCUCCUUUCUCACGUGGAUCUUAUUGAAAAAUUACUUAACUACGCACCCCUAGAAAAGUGACUUUUGUCUGCCUGCUUCCAACAACUACAUGGACUUCAAGUGGCUACUUUGAAACAUUCAUUUAAUGUUUAUUGUGUGAUGGCUAAUGGCAGUCAGAAAGACUUCAGGGACAUAUGGACUUUCAUGUAAAUGUGUGCAUCUUUGUAAUGUGUUUUUUUUUUCUAAAUAAAGCAAAAAUGAUCUGAUUAACA